UACGUAGGUGGCAAGCGUUGUCCGGAUUUACUGGGCGUAAAGGGCGCGUAGGCGGUCCUGUAAGUCCCGCGUGAAAUCCCCCGGCUCAACUGGGGAACUGCGCGGGAAACUGCGGGGCUUGAGUUCGGGAGAGGGAUGCGGAAUUCCAGGUGUAGCGGUGAAAUGCGUAGAUAUCUGGAGGAACACCGGUGGCGAAGGCGGCAUCCUGGACCGACACUGACCGCUGAGGAGCGAAAGCCAGGGGGAGCAAAACCGGGG
rnacentral:rRNA from 1 species